rnacentral:rRNA from 1 species
UCAAGCUACAAAGAGCACAAGGGGAAUGCCUUGGCACCGAGAGCCGAAGAAGGACGUGACUAACUGCGAUAAGCUGCGGGGAGCCGUAAGUAGGCUUUGAUCCGCAGAUUUCCGAAUGGAGCAAUCCGGCAAGAGGAAAGUCUUGUCAUCAUAUACUGAAUACAUAGGUAUAUGAGGGGAACCGCCUGAACUGAAACAUCUAAGUAGGGCGAGGAAGAGAAAUCAACUGAGAUUCCGUAAGUAGUGGCGAGCGAACGCGGAAGAGGCCAAACCGAGAGUAGUAAUACUUUCGGGGUUCGGACAGAAAACGGUAUUGUAAAGGUUUAGUGGAAUGGAAUGGGAAGUCCAACCGAAGAAGGUGAGAGUCCUGUACACGAAAAGCCUGAACAGCCAUCUGUAUCCAGAGUACCGCCGGACACGUGAAACCCGGUGGGAAUACGGGGGGACCAUCCUCCAAGCCUAAAUACUACUCGGUGACCGAUAGUGAAGAAGUACUGUGAAGGAAAGGUGAAAAGUACCCCUGACGGGGAGUGAAAAAGAACCUGAAACCUUGUGUUUACAAGCACCGAAAGCUCAUCAAAGAGCGAUCGGGUACCUUUUGUAGAAUGGUCCGGCGAGUGAAUGUAACCGGCGAGGUUAAGCACUUAAGGUGUGAAGCCGCAGCGAGAGCAAGUCUGAAUAGGGCGUAUGAAGUCGGUUGUAUUCGACCCGAAACCGGGUGACCUACCCAUGGUCAGGUUGAAGUAAAGGUAAAACUUUAUGGAGGACCGAACCGACUCCCGUUGAAAUGGUAGCGGAUGAACUGUGGGUAGCGGAGAAAUUCCAAUCGAACCCGGAGAUAGCUGGUUCUCUCCGAAAUAGCUUUAGGGCUAGCCUUGAAAUAGAUUACCGGAGGUAAAGCACUGAAUUGGCUAGGGGCCGAGAGGUUACUGAACCUUAUCAAACUAAGAAUGCCGGAUAAUCGUUUUUCAGGAGUCAGACAGUGGGAGAUAAGUUUCAUUGUCAAAAGGGAAACAGCCCAGACCCACAGCUAAGGUCCCCAAGUAUAGUUAAGUGGAAAAGGAUGUGGAAUUGCACAGACAACCAGGAUGUUGGCUUAGAAGCAGCCACUCAUUAAAAGAGUGCGUAAUAGCUCACUGGUCGAGUGACUCUGCGCCGAAAAUUUAACGGGGCUAAACUAUACACCGAAGCUUGGGAUACAUCUAAUGUAUGGUAGGAGAGCGUUCUGUAUGGGGUGAAGUCGUAGCGAAAGCGGCGGUGGACUGUACAGAAGUGAGAAUGCCGGAAUAAGUAGCGAGAAUUAAGUGAGAAUCUUAAUGGCCGAAAGUCUAAGGUUUUUGGAGGAAGGUUCGUCCGCUCCAAGUAAGUCGGGAGCUAAGGUCAGGCCGAAAGGCGUAGCCGAUGCACAUACGGUUGAUAUUCCGUAACCAUCUGUAAUUUAAGCAAAGGGACACUUCAAAAGGGUGUGACCCGGGCGUUGGUUGACCCGGGCGUAAGGGACCGAAAUUAGAGUAGGGAAGCACACUUGGCUGAAGGCGAGAAAAGCUUUGCGUAUAGAAGCAGAUGCCCGUACCGCAAACCGACACAGGUGGACAGGAAGAGAAUUCUAAGGCCAGCGGGAGAAGGGUAGUUAAGGAACUCGGCAAAUUGACUCCGUAACUUCGGAAUAAGGAGUGCUCGAAAGAGCCGCAGAGAAUAGGCCCAGGCGACUGUUUAGCAAAAACACAGGUCUCUGCCAAAUCGAAAGAUGAAGUAUAGGGGCUGACACCUGCCCGGUGCCGGAAGGUUAAGAGGAGGAGUGAGAGCUCCGAAUUGAAGCCCCGGUAAACGGCGGCCGUAACUAUAACGGUCCUAAGGUAGCGAAAUUCCUUGUCGGGU